rnacentral:pre_miRNA from 1 species
AGGUCCCUGUUGGAGAAGCAGGGCACGUGCAGAGACACGCCAGAGCACGGCCGAACUCACGCACCUGCGUGUGGUCGGUCGAAGCGAUCGAGGAAGCUUUGUUGUUGCUCCAAUUGCUAGCUCCUGCACGUGCUCCCCUUCUCCACCAUGGCCUU